GUCUCCGUAGGUGAACCUGCGGAGGGAUCAUUACACAAAUAUGAAGGCGGGCUGGAACCUCUCGGGGUUACAGCCUUGCUGAAUUAUUCACCCUUGUCUUUUGCGUACUUCUUGUUUCCUUGGUGGGUUCGUCCACCACUAGGACAAACAUAAACCUUUUGUAAUUGCAAUCAGCGUCAGUAACAAAUUAAUAAUUACAACUUUCAACAACGGAUCUCUUGGUUCUGGCAUCGAUGAAGAACGCAGCGAAAUGCGAUAAGUAGUGUGAAUUGCAGAAUUCAGUGAAUCAUCGAAUCUUUGAACGCACAUUGCGCCCUUUGGUAUUCCAAAGGGCAUGCCUGUUCGAGCGUCAUUUGUACCCUCAAGCUUUGCUUGGUGUUGGGCGUCUUGUCUCUAGCUUUGCUGGAGACUCGCCUUAAAGUAAUUGGCAGCCGGCCUACUGGUUUCGGAGCGCAGCACAAGUCGCACUCUUUAUCAGCAAAGGUCUAGCAUCCAUUAAGCCUUUUUUUCAACUUUUGACCUCGGAUCAGGUAGGGAUACCCGCUGA
rnacentral:rRNA from 1 species